rnacentral:rRNA from 1 species
UACAGAGGUCCCAAGCGUUGUUCGGAUUCACUGGGCGUAAAGGGUGCGUAGGCGUUCGGGCAAGUCUGAUGUGAAAUCUCACAGCUUAACUGUGAAACUGCAUUGGAUACUAUCCGGCUCGAGGAAUGGAGGGGAGACUGGAAUACUUGGUGUAGCAGUGAAAUGCGUAGAGAUCGGAAAGAACACCAACGGCGAAAGCACUCUGCUGGGCCGCCACUGACACUGAGAGACGAAAGCUAGGGGAGCGAAUGGG